rnacentral:rRNA from 1 species
UACGUAGGUGGCAAGCGUUGUCCGGAUUUAUUGGGUUUAAAGGGUGCGUAGGCGGUCUUAUAAGUCAGUGCUGAAAUAUCCCGGCUUAACCGGGAGGGUGGCAUUGAUACUGCAAGACUUGAGUAGAGUUGAGGUUGGCGGAAUUGACGGUGUAGCGGUGAAAUGCUUAGAUAUCGUCAAGAACACCGAUAGUGAAGACAGCUAACUAAGCUCUAACUGACGCUGAGGCACGAAAAGUGUGGGGGAUCAAACAGGG